GUAAAGCAAUCUGUUCAGAUUCUGUCUCGGCCAUCCUUACAAUUCUAUUUACAGAUCCUUCAAGAUUCUCAUUCUCCACUGAACCAGGCUACUGCCUGCAAUUAUUUUGGGCCGCAGGGCCAAAAAUGAAAAAGCCCAAAAAUUUCACCAUCCACAGG